UGAGGAAUUUUGGACAAUGGGGGAAACCCUGAUCCAGCGACGCCGCGUGAGGGACGAAGGUCUUCGGAUUGUAAACCUCUUUUGCCUGGGAAUAAGAAAGCUGUGGAAACACGGCGAGUGAAUGUACCAGGCGAAUAAGCCACGGCUAACUUCGUGCCAGCAGCCGCGGUAAUACGAAGGUGGCAAGCGUUACUCGGAAUUACUAGGCGUAAAGGGCAGGUAGGUGGUUUAGUAAGUCUGUUGUGAAAGCUCCUGGCUUAACUGGGAGAGGUCAACGGAUACUACUAGGCUAGAGUAUAGGAGAGGGUACUGGAAUUCCCGGUGUAGCGGUGAAAUGCGCAGAUAUCGGGAGGAACACCAAUGGCGAAAGCAGGUACCUGGACUAUUACUGACACUCAGCUGCGAAAGCUAGGGGAGCAAACAGG
rnacentral:rRNA from 1 species